rnacentral:rRNA from 1 species
UACGGAGGGUGCGAGCGUUGUCCGGAAUUACUGGGCGUAAAGGGCUCGUAGGCGGCCAACUAAGUCGGACGUGAAAUCCCUCGGCUUAACCGGGGAACUGCGUCCGAUACUGGAUGGCUUGAGUAUGGGAGAGGGAUGCGGAAUUCCAGGUGUAGCGGUGAAAUGCGUAGAUAUCAGGAGGAACACCGGUGGCGAAGGCGGGUCUCUGGGCCGAUACUGACGCUGAGGAGCGAAAGCGUGGGGAGCGAACAGG